AGCAGCCGCGGUAAUUCCAGCUCCAAUAGCGUAUAUUAAAGUUGUUGCAGUUAAAAAGCUCGUAGUUGAACCUUAGGCCCGUACGGGUGGUCCGUCCUCAGGGCGAGCACUGCCUCGUUGCGGGUCUCACCUUCUGGCGAGCGUAGAUGCCAUUUAUUUGGUGUCUGCGGGAACCAGGACCUUUACCUUGAAAAAAUUAGAGUGCUCAAAGCGGGCUUAGACGCUUGAAUACAUUAGCAUGGAAUAAUGAAAUAGGACGAUGGUUCUAUUUUGUUGGUUUCUGGGACCGUCGUAAUGAUUAAUAGGGAUAGUUGGGGGCAUUCGUAUUCAAUUGUCAGAGGUGAAAUUCUUGGAUUUAUUGAAGACGAACUACUGCGAAAGCAUUUGCCAAGGAUGUUUUCAUUAAUCAAGAACGAAAGUUGGGGGAUCGAAGACGAUCAGAUACCGUCGUAGUCUCAACCAUAAACUAUGCCGACUGGGAAUCGGACGAUGUUACUUUUACGACUCGUUCGGCGCCCCG
rnacentral:rRNA from 1 species